rnacentral:lncRNA from 1 species
UCACCGUGCCGCUGUCGCCGCACCAUCGUCAUCAUCGUCCCUCUUUGAAGUCCAUCGGGCUCUCUCUCUCACAAUCCACCUAGUAUAUACGGCUCUCUGGUUCUCUCUAGCUAUGUCUCUCUCUCUCUCACAGUCCACCUGUAGGUCGCUAUCGUCGCCACGCUGCCAUCACCGUCGUAGGGCCACCAUCGUCAUCGCUGCACAAUCGCCGACGUCUGCUUAUCUCGGUACCCAUCUCUCUCUCUCUUUGUGGGAUUCACGGA